rnacentral:rRNA from 1 species
CACUUAUUUGAUUUCCUUCGGGACUGAUUAUUUUGUGACUGAGUGGCGGACGGGUGAGUAACGCGUGGGUAACCUGCCUUGUACAGGGGGAUAACAGUUGGAAACGACUGCUAAUACCGCAUAAGCGCACAGUACCGCAUGGUACAGUGUGAAAAACUCCGGUGGUAUGAGAUGGACCCGCGUCUGAUUAGGUAGUUGGUGGGGUAACGGCCUACCAAGCCAACGAUCAGUAGCCGACCUGAGAGGGUGACCGGCCACAUUGGGACUGAGACACGGCCCAAACUCC